UAUUUCGGUUCUUAGAAAUUUGGAUCGGAUUACUCCGUUUUAACUUUGUUGCGUUUCUAUUGGGCUUUCGUCUAUUUUUUACCGGCCCAUAGUUUAGGGCUCUGAGUUUGGACAAACCAUUGAUAAGCUUGCGCUCUUGUGUCUUUGGAGGGUUUGGCGACUUCCACCGAUCGUGUCUCGCUUUCAUUCUUCGCUCCCAGGAAUCAGAGUAAAACACACACGAAACCAACAAGAGUGUGUUUCUUCAAUGUUGGUCCAUUCCCAAAAUCAAAAAUCUUGAGACAGAUUGUUCCUCUUCUAGCAAAUGACUUUGCAACUUCACCAUCGUGGAGACUACCAAGGCGUGUGACAGCAUCUGCAGACAAAAACUCAAUCUCCCCGGUAGCAGAAAACAGAUUGCAAAACAGGUUGUUCAUGGUGUAUUGCUGCCUAGGGUUCAUGUGGAUGGUGAAGAAAGAAUUUUUGCCUCAUUACUUUAGGUUUCACAUGAUUAUGGGAUUGCUUCUAGAAGCAUGUGAAUUCUUCCCUUGGAUUAACAUAAAUGGUAGUUUAAGGGUGUAUUACACGAUACUGGUGAUGGGAUUUAGUUGCACACUCACCCUUGUUGACAUAUUAUGGUGGGCUGCCCCUAAAAUCGCCCUCUGUUUUGUUGGUGCUGGAAUGGCAUUUGUACAACUUUGUAAGGUUUUAGGAUUAUCUUAGAUGGUUUUAAGUCAUAUAUGAUGAUGGUGUCUAGUUGCACACAUGUCCUUGUUUAUAUUACGGUGAGCUUUUUUCUAGUUAUCCUUCAAUAGAAUCUUUUUUUUAUACCUUUGAAAAUCCCAACAAUAAAGUCUUGUUUCAUUU